CAGGUUUACCUGUGUGACUGCGUACCUUUUGUAUAAUGGGUCAGCGACUUAUAUUCUGUAGCAAGGUUAACCGAAUAGGGGAGCCGGAGGGAAACCGAGUCUUAAUUGGGCGUUAAGUUGCAGGGUAUAGACCCGAAACCCGGUGAUCUAGCCAUGGGCAGGUUGAAGGUUGGGUAACACUAACUGGAGGACCGAACCGACUAAUGUUGAAAAAUUAGCGGAUGACCUGUGGCUGGGGGUGAAAGGCCAAUCAAACCGGGAGAUAGCUGGUUCUCCCCGAAAGCUAUUUAGGUAGCGCCUCGUGAAUUCAUCUCCGGGGGUAGAGCACUGUUUCGGCUAGGGGGCCAUCCCGGCUUACCAACCCGAUGCAAACUGCGAAUACCGGAGAAUGUUAUCACGGGAGACACACGGCGGGUGCUAACGUCCGUCGUGAAGAGGGAAACAACCCAGACCGCCAGCUAAGGUCCCAAAGUCAUGGUUAAGUGGGAAACGAUGUGGGAAGGCCCAGACAGCCAGGAUGUUGGCUUAGAAGCAGCCAUCAUUUAAAGAAAGCGUAAUAGCUCACUGGUCGAGUCGGCCUGCGCGGAAGAUGUAACGGGGCUAAACCAUGCACCGAAGCUGCGGCAGCGAACGUAUCAC
rnacentral:rRNA from 1 species